rnacentral:lncRNA from 1 species
GUGGCUUUAAUUUUUGCUCGUUAUUUUCUGGUCUUUUCUCGAUUUUUAUAACAUGAUCUGUUUGGUUUCUGGGAAAUAUAAUCUGUAAGAGCAGACAUGACGCAGCACAGGUGAUUGUAAAUAUGUAGGUUAUUGGUCAGUGCAAAUAUUAGUUUUGUGUCACCGAUUAUAAAUUUUUUGCUUGCAUUGCUUCAUUAGAUUAUGGAAUCUAAAGUUAGUGGCAGAAUAGAUUUGCGGCUAUUCUUGCUUAUUGAAUUAGUGAUCCAUUUUCUGUGUUAUAUUCUGGUUCAGUUAAGUCAACUUAUUAUAUUAAGAAAAUUGUUAUACGCUGAUCGGUACCUAGGAAAUUUGAUUCAAUUGUGGAUAUAUUGCUUGGUGAUUACUUCUGGGCUUCAUGGAUAUUUGGUUUUCAUUUUUAUAUAUUUAUAUAGACAAAUGUAUGUUGGGUUCUGAUUUUUCCAAACAUUUUGUUGAGAUUAUGAACGUAUACAUUGCUAUUUAUUCCUUCUUUUGUCUUAAUAUCGUUAGUGAUGUUAAGCUUACCCAUACUGUCAUGAAAGGUUAUUUUUCAGUUAUUAGCUCUAGCUAAAUUGUACUAUAAAGAGUGGAAUGCUUGUCCUCCAUCCAGCGGAGAACUUGUACCUCUUCUAUCUACUGUCAACAUAUUUUUGGGGUCUUUUUAAAGCUUAUUGCUAUUGCUUUUUUAAAUUUGUUUGAUGUUAAGUUUACUAUUUGUAUUUUCAGUGGAAGAAGAAGCGUAUGAGGAGAUUGAAGAGGAAGCGCCGAAAGAUGAGGCAGAGAUCCAAGUAGGCGCUUGGAACUUCAACGAGAUGGGGUUUUCUCCUGAUACCUUCAGAUUGCUCUGCUUGAAUGAUUGGAGGAUGAUGGAAAGCUUCAUUUGGUUUUGUCUUCUAGUUUUAGUUUUAGCAACUGAUUUUGAGA